rnacentral:lncRNA from 1 species
CGAACAAUGUGGUUAGAUUAAGGAGAUGUUUAUCUUUUAAAUUGUGUAAAAUAGUUGAUUGUUUGAGAAAUUGAAAUUAUUAGAUUUUUGAUGUUUUGAAUUUCCAGCCUUGUUAGCAAUCCCGUCUCGGGGUUCAUUGCUAACCUGUAGCCCCAACAGGACUAUUAUUAUCCUAAUUUAUGACUAUCCAAUCCACUCAUCACAUUAGAAAUAGUAGGUUAUUUUACAUUAGGUGCCGCCUAUAGUAAUCGAUAGUUGAUAAAUUCGUACAUUUUACUGAUGAUCAUAAGAAACUGAAUUCUAUCAACUUCCUCAUUCUGUCCCAUUACUGUAGCUGGCCACUGUGUUGACUUGAGAGGUCACGCACAGUGCCCACGGCAGAUGAAUGAAAUUUGUACUUCGGGGAGAAAAAGUUUUUUUUAAAUAACUGCAUUUAAAACAACUAUAAUCUAAAUAUAAUAAUAUACUUGUAAAAAAUAAAUAGAGUACAAAGUGCUAACCACCCAGCUUUGGAAAACUUAGAAAGUCUGUUUCCCUGCUUUUGAGAGGAGCUGGCUACUGUACACAGAGAUUCCCAGAAAUUGCGAUAAUCCAACGUCAAUUAUCUUCAAACUGCACGCAGAGACAUAAAAAUGGUGUCCAGGAGUUCAGCUGACCCUGGGUAAGUAGAAUGACCUAAAUCCCAUCAUCUUCCAGUAUCCCUUUAAGGACAGGAGCAUGACGUGCAUAUUCCAUUUACCAUGAAAAACAAAUAGAAACAGUGUUUCCUUUCAGUCACAUUUUCACCAAGCUCCGGCCCAACAACAGUCUAGUUUACCUCCGGACAUACUGUACAGUAUACCAAAUACAUUUCUUUCGCAUGAUUAUAACAAACACUUAAUUUUGGAAAUAUAACAAGAGUUUGGGACUAUAAGGUUCCUAUCUGAAUUUUUGUCCGAAUGUAAUUAUUGACAUAGCCUUGUUCUGUUCAGUGUUCUCUACAGUAGUACUCUAAAUACCCCAAUUCAUGUUAUUAAAUUCAAAAGAUUACAAGAUAAAAAUUGCUGACACCAUUCAAACCAAUGAGGGUUCAGAACAUUAAAGCCAAUUACUGUAUUUCAGCAUACAGCAUAGAUACCGUCUCAGCCUCCAGUAUCUAUGCUGCAAUAGUCUAUGUGCCGGGUGCCAAGGGUCAGUCUGUUAUAUCUGGUGUAAUUCUCCUGUCUUAUCUGGUGUCUUGUGUGAAUUUACAUACAGUGAGGGAAAAAAGUAUUUGAUCCCCUGCUGAUUUUGUACGUUUGCCCACUUUUCCCCCACCCACACAGUCUACCAAAAAAAAGAGCAUAAAAAAAACAUCCUAUUUCUUCUGUUAAAACAAAACCGCCAAAUCUCUACACAGGCACCGGCGCCUGGGAGGGCGGAACAUCUUCCAUUGCCAAUAACCUUUGCAGAUCUUCCGCUGUGAACUCCUGAAGUCCCAAAUACUUUUCAGCUGCCGCCACAAUGAUGUCCAACUUCUUCUUUUUUUUUUUUUAUACUUGUGCCGUAUAGCUAAUAACAGUUGCAAUGAAUGCUACAGAAUCCAUCUUUUUAACAAACAGCGGAGCCGGUUGACUUGCUUGACACAUUCACGGGCUGUGGUGCAUCCGCGACACUGUAACUUGCUUUCUCAACUCUUUUGGUUGCGCCUGCAUAGAAAAUCCGAUGGACCGUUCUAACUUCCGCCACCUCAAUUUCUCAACUUACAGGGCAUUCCAAGAACUCAGGAUCAUGAUCCCUACCAUAAUUGCAGAACUGACCUUCUUCACUCCAAUCUUCAUUAUACAUAUUUCAUCUGC